CGGGGUGAGUAACGCGUGGGUAACCUGCCUCAUACAGGGGGAUAACGGUUAGAAAUGACUGCUAAUACCGCAUAAGCGCACAGUACCGCAUGGUACCGUGUGAAAAACUCCGGUGGUAUGAGAUGGACCCGCGUCUGAUUAGCUAGUUGGUGAGGUAACGGCCCACCAAGGCGACGAUCAGUAGCCGACCUGAGAGGGUGACCGGCCACAUUGGGACUGAGACACGGCCCAG
rnacentral:rRNA from 1 species